rnacentral:rRNA from 1 species
AACGUAGGUACCGAGCGUUAUCCGGAUUUACUGGGCGUAAAGCGCGUUCAGGCGGUUUGGCAAGUCGGGCCUGAAAUCUCUCGGCUCAACCGGGAGAGGUUGUCCGAUACUUCCAGACUUGAGGGCAGUAGAGGGUGGUGGAAUUCCGGGUGUAGUGGUGAAAUGCGUAGAUAUCCGGAGGAACACCAGUGGCGAAAGCGGCCCCCUGGACUGCACCUGACGCUGACACGCGAAAGCUAGGGGAGCGAACGGG